UGAAGACGACGACGACGAGGAUGAUGAAAAAGAUGAAGAUGAUGCCGAUAGACAUCCUGAUGGAGAAGGAACUGGUAGGUCAAAGCAAAGCAGAAGCGAAAAGAAGAGUCGCAAAGCUAUGUUGAAGCUCGGGAUGAAACCAAUUCCAGGUGUUAGCCGAGUCACCGUCAAGAAGAGCAAAAAUAUCUUAUUUAUCAUUUCAAAGCCAGAUGUCUUCAAGAGCCCCGCAUCAU